rnacentral:tRNA from 1 species
GCCGGCUUAGCUCAGUUGGUAGAGCACCCGCCUUGUAAGCGGAAGGUCGUCAGUUCGAUCCCGACAGCCGGCA